rnacentral:rRNA from 1 species
CCUACGGGUGGCAGCAGUGGGGGAUAUUGCACAAUGGGGGAAACCCUGAUGCAGCAACGCCGCGUGAGGGAAGAAGGCUUUCGGAUUGUAAACCUCUGUUCUCGGUGAAGAUAAUGACGGUAUCCAAGGAGAAAGCUCCGGCUAACUACGUGCCAGCAGCCGCGGUAAUACGUAGGGAGCAAGCGUUGUCCGGAUUUACUGGGUGUAAAGGGUGCGUAGGCGGUCUUGCAAGUCAGACGUGAAAACCCCAGGCUCAACCGCAGGACUGCGUUUGAAACUGUGGGGCUUGAGUGCAGUAGAGGUAGGCGGAAUUCCCGGUGUAGCGGUGAAAUGCGUAGAUAUCAGGAGGAACACCAGUGGCGAAGGCGGCCUGCUGGACAUUAACUGACGCUGAGGCGCGAAAGCAUGGGUAGCAAACAGGAUUAGAUACCCUGGUAGUC